ensembl:lncRNA
UUUUGCAAUUUUGUUAGCACAGCUGAAAACUGUUGUCCUGAUUAAAGAAGCAAUAAAACUGGCCUUCUUUAGACUAGUUGAGUAUCUGGAGCAUCAGCAUUUGUGGGUUUGAUUACAGGCUCAAAAUGGCCAGAAACAAAUCACUUUUUUUCUGAAACUCAUCAGUCUAUUUUUGUUCUGAGAAAUGAAGGCUAUUCCAUGAGAGAAAUUGCCAAGAAACUGAAGAUCUCAUACAAUGCUGUGUACUACUGCCUUCACAGAACAGUGCAAACUGGCCCUAACCAGAAUAGAAAGAGGAGUGGGAGUCCCCGGUGCACAACUGAGCAAGAGGACAAGUACAUUAGAGUGUCUAGUUUGAGAAACAGACGCUUCACAAGUCCUCAACUGGCAGCUUCAUUAAAUAGAGUACCCCCAAAACACCAGUCUCAACGUCAACAGUGAAGAGAUGACUCCGGGAUGCUGGCCUUUUAGGUAGAGUUUCAAAGAAAAAGCCAAAUUUCUGUCUAGUGUCUGUUCUUUUGCCCAUCUUAAUCUUUUAUUUUUAUUGGCCAGUCUGAGAUAUGGCUUUUUCUUUGUAAUUCUGCCUAGAAGGCCAACAUCCCGGAGUGGCCUCUUCACUGUUGAAAACAAGAACAUUUCGAAGUGACCCCAAACUUUUGAACGGUAGUGUAUGUUAAGGUUCAAUCUUAGUUUUCCUUAUCUCCACUGUCACCUUCUGUACCUUCUGUGGCCCUGUGGAAUGUCCAUGUUGAUCCUCUUGGUCCAUCCACCUGUCUUUGUUAGUCAGGCCUGACCCCUUCAUCCCGUAGUUUAUUCCAGUUAUUUAUUUUAAUAUGACUGAAGAUGCAGAAGUUUAUGCCAGGCCCCUUCUGAUAGUGUAUACCAGACUGGUUAGAACUUUGACCACACACCCUUUAGACGGACUACAUGCCCUCUAUCAAAUCAAAACUGGAUUUUUGUACUCAAAACAAAAGUUGUAAAAGUAUGCUAGACAUUUAUAGAAUAAAUCAUAUCUAGUUUGAUGUUUCUGUGACAAACGGUGAAUUAGUUACUGAUUUAUACAGUUUAAAAUGACAUUCGAUAGAUUUGAUGUAUUUCUAUCAAGUCAAAACUGGAAUAUUUCCUCAAAACAAAAGUUGUAAAAGUAUGCUAGACAUUUAUAGAAUACAUUUACUUAGUUUGAUGUUUCUGUGACAAACUGUGAAUUAGUUAAUGAUUUAUACUGCUUUAAAUUCCAUUUUAUAUAUUUUAUGUAUUUCCAACUGGAAUUUCUACUCAAAACAAAGGUUGUAAAAAUAUCCUAGACAUUUAUAGAAUAAAUCAUAUCUAGUUUGAUCAUUCUGUGACAAAUGGUGAAUUAGUUAUUGAUUUUUACAUUUUUAAAUGGCUUUUGGCGAAUGUCAGUUGAAUGUCUGAUGAUUGUUUGUUGAAUGUCUGUUGAAUGUCCGAAUGUGUGAAUAUAAAACCACAGGCUCAUCAAGACCUGUGCGAUGCUGAUCGGCAAACUCCCGCUGAAAAGUGUCCAUUGCCAAAACCUGAUGGUGGAUAGCACUUAGAUGUGCACCGGAAUGGCAUGUGUUUGCCUUUCUAAUGUAGGUCUUAAAUACUAGCAAAAAUCUAAUGAAAUGUGUUUUGUUAAUCUAUAUCUGAUGAGCCCGUCUAUACUUUCUGCAAAAGUCCCACCUGUCUCUAAAAACACACUCUGCAAAAUGCAGGGUCUUCCAACAGAGCAUGAUUAGCCAUCUGCAUUUCACGGUAAGGUCUACUACACUUCACGGUAAGGUCUACUACACUUCACGGUAAGGUAUACUACACUUCAUGGUAAGGUCUACUACACUUCACGGUAAGGUCUACUACACUUCACGGCAAGGUCUACUACACUUCACGGUAAGGUCUACUACACUUCACGGUAAGGUAUACUACACUUCACGGUAAGGUCUACUACACUUCACGGUAAGGUCUACUACACUUCACGGUAAGGUCUACUACACUUCACGGUAAGGUCUACUGCAUUUCACGGUAAGGUCUACUACACUUCACG